ACGAACCUCUUCCAUCUCCAUUUGUGGUAAUGGCGGCCUCCCGUCAGCGUGGUUCGUGUUGGUGGAGGAGGGGGCAUCCCUGAGGCCUGGUGAAGGCUUCCGCCUGAAGAUGGAGGCAGCAGUGCAGAGUCGGAGGAGGGGGCAUCCCUGAGGCCUGGUGAAGGCUUCCGCCUGAAGAUGGAGGCAGCAGUGCAGAGUCGGAGGAGGGGGCAUCCCUGAGGCCUGGUGAAGGCUUCCGCCUGAAGAUGGAGGCAGCAGUGCAGAGUCGGAGGAGGGGGCAUCCCUGAGGCCUGGUGAAGGCUUCCGCCUGAAGAUGGAGGCAGCAGUGCAGAGUCGGAGGAGGGGGCAUCCCUGAGGCCUGGUGAAGGCUUCCGCCUGAAGAUGGAGGCAGCAGUGCAGAGUCGGUCCCACUUCGCUGGAGGAGCCAUCAGCCCAGCAAGUUCUGAAGAGGUGGUGACUCCCGACCUCCCUCAACUUCAGUGGAAGAAACCGACUGGACGAGGAAGGGGGGUGGGGUGGGCUGUACUAACUGGUGGCUCCAGUGGAUGAAAGCGCAAGAAAUUAAAUAUGAA